AAGAUGAAGUGCUGUUACUCGCAAGGUCGUCAAACUUGGUGCCAGAAAGUAGACCUUUUGGAUGGCAUGGAAUGCGAACACAAAAGCACAUGCAUGAAAGGCGUCUGUGGAGCGAAUAACCGGGCAGAAAAAUAGCCGAAAUAGCUACCUUACCAGAAGCAUUGGAGCCUUGUGAAGACAACGUGAACAGGAAUGGCACUAGAAUCUUUGACGAAGCCAUCAUUUUUUCCACAACCACUUCUUCAUUUGAACUUCAGGGUGGUAUGCCUCUUGUGACGCUCUAUAUGUAGUCAUAAGCCAUACGACGUUUAUAGAUUAAAUAAAGAAUGCGGUGUACAUACACCCCAACA